ACUGGCUCUUAUUUUCUUUCCAUCACCGAAUGGUUUCUUCCAGAAACCCUUUCUCAAAAUCAAAACCAUUCCUUUUUGUGCUCAAAGCUUCAUCCAAAAGAAGAAGCUUCAAUUAGAUAUAGGUGGUUGUUUGCUAUAGCUUUGUGACCAGUAGUACUGUACUGCCAUAUCAUCUUCCCGAUGAUAGUUAUUUGAAUUCAAGGCUUAGGGUUUGUUUGGAUUGUGUUAUUCAAGCUUCCACUUAAUUUCAUUAUUCAUGCAUCUUUUCACUCUAUCUUAUGCACAUAUACAUAGUUUCUGUUUCUUUUGUAUGCAUACUGUUGCAAUUGUGUUGGGAUUUGCAGGAUUUGAUUGUGUUUUCAAACCCUUUCUAUUAACUAAUUUUCAAUUCAACCGUUAGGGUUUGUAAAUUAUUCGAGAAAAACUGAUUCAUCUUGAAGUUUAAAAUGCUUCCAAUAAGUGUUUUCAUUCUCAACACUAUUAAGUGUUUUCAAGGCUUAGGGUUUGUUUGGAUUGUGUUAUUUAAGCUUAUCUACUUCAAUAAACACUUGCGAGACUGUUUGAAAGUGUUUAUGGAAACUAUAUAUCACCGACACGCGCUACAUCAUAGCAUGAUAAAUAGCUAAUAGUUUGAUUUUCUUUAUUUUCUGUUAUACAGAAUACCUUAUACAUAUAGGCAUUUUAUGAUAAACGCUUACUUAAGUUUAUCCAAAUAAGGCCUUACUUGGUCAAUGUUGAGCUUAUGAUUCUGGAUUUUGAUAUUGAAUUAAUAUUCUUGACAAGGAACACCUCUUUGAGAUUACCGAGCUCAACAUCUACAGUGCUGUUUUUGGGACCGAAAUUUGGCGAGCUGCGGGGAAUAUGGAAGAACAAUGUAUUGUACACAGUUUGCCAAAGAAUAUGCCUGUUACUCAUGACAAUGCAGAAAAUAUAUGGUUAUUUGAAUUCAAGGCUUAGGGUUUGUUUGGAUUGUGUAAUUUAAGCUUUCCGAUGAUUUGCUGGUUCAGCAAACACGCUGUAUCUCUAACCCCGACCACAUUGACAAGAGGUUCAGAACUGAUCCUGAGCUUGCAAAUGCAAGGGCAUCCCUGGAAUUCGAUCCAUUAUUGAAAAGAUUCGAUGAAUCAUUUAUCAAUGAGAAUGCCAUCAAUUCAAUUUUUGGAAUAUUUGAUAACAAAUAACCCUCCGCGUUGACACAAGAAAACAACGGGUUUAACUCUAAUGAAUUGAUUGAGCAAUAUGAUUCUAUCACAUUUGAUUUUGCCAUGUAUAUUUUGUAGUUAAUUAUAGAUCUCAAUUUUUUUGUUACCACCUUUGCUCUAUGAUAGUAAUUCUAUCACUAUAUCUUGUUUUAUGUACUAGUAUGAUAUAUAAGAAACUUAUGAUCAAUAAAAUUGUCCAUUUCCAUUAAUACUUUUAAUAACACCAAUCACAACACAAUGGUUUUUUGCUUCCCUCUAUUUUAUUAUAUGUUGUUUCUUUGGUUCACUCUGACCCCAAGACAUGUAUGGGUGACUUGAAAUUCAAGCCUCUUUUAUCUGGUCCAUCCAAUUUGCCACCCAUAGUUUGAAUAAAAAGGAGUGUGCAUGGUAAUGUUACUUGGACUUGGACAUGAUUUGAGCAUGCUAUAUUCUUUUCCUUGUAUUAUUUUUUGUUUAUGUGAUGCUUAUUUAUGUAAUGCCACGGGACUGUAAUUUCUUAUUAUCUCUUUGAGCUUAUGAUUGUUGAGUUUGAUAUUGUAUUAAUAUUUUUGAGAAGAAUAAACUCUUUGAAUAUAUGACAUUAGUACUUUGAGAUUACUGAUAUCAUUUCAAGCUCAAAUAAUGCAUUAUAAGCUUUUCAAAUAAUCCAUUUAGCUACUUUUAAUAAUGCAUUAUAAGCUUUUCAAUUAAUCUAUUUAGCUACUUAAAUGACUUUUUACCUAUAGUCAUGACUAAUGGCUAGUAAUCACAUUCAUUAUAACGAUGAUUAAUCUCAACAAUUUGAAUAUGACUUUGAUACACUUUGAGAUUAGUGAUAUCAUUUCAUGCUCAUAGAAGGUAAUUGGAGGCCUAAUUUAGUGAUAUCAUUACAUGAGGUGUCAUUUUAUAUAUAUGAACUUCAAAACUCUUUUUUGAAAAGUAAAACAGUGUACUUUAUGUUUGAUCCAUAAUGUUUGAGAUAUGACUGAAUCAAAAUGUUCAAUACCCACAGUGAUGUUUUUGUUGGAAACAAAGGUUCAUGUGUUGAGAAAUUUCCAAAGAGUUCAAUAAAUUCUAAUUUGAAGAUUUGUGAUCAUGGUCGUAGAAGAACUCUCUUUUGUUAUAAAUAUGUAAUGCUCUUGGUCAUUGUUGUUAUCUUCAUCGCCGCGGU